rnacentral:rRNA from 1 species
UACGUAGAAGGCGAGCGUUAUCCGGAUUCAUUGGGCGUAAAGAGGGCGUAGGCGGCUUUUCAAGUCGGAUGUGAAAUCUCCCGGCUUAACUGGGAGGUGUCGUUCGAUACUGUUGGGCUUGAGGGCAGCAGAGGGAGGUGGAAUUCCCGGUGUAGUGGUGGAAUGCGUAGAUAUCGGGAGGAACACCAGUGGCGAAGGCGGCCUCCCAGGCUGUUUCUGACGCUGAGGCCCGUAAGCGUGGGGAGCAAACAGGAUUAGAUACCCGCGUA